GACGAACCGUGCGAACGUUAUUCGGAAUCACUGGGCUUAAAGCGCGUGUAGGCGGGCCGCCCCGUCGGCUGCUGAAAUCCCCCGGCUCAACCGGGGAACGGGCACCGAUACGAGCGGCCUGGAGGGGGGUAGGGGGGUCUGGAACUUCCGGUGGAGCGGUGAAAUGCGUUGAGAUCGGAAGGAACGCCCGUGGCGAAAGCGGCUAACUGGCCGAGACCUGACGCUGAGACGCGACGGCGUGGGGAGCAAACCGG
rnacentral:rRNA from 1 species